CCUACGGGACGCAGCAGUGGGGAAUAUUGCACAAUGGGGGGAACCCUGAUGCAGCGACGCCGCGUGGGCGAGGAAGUAUUUCGGUAUGUAAAGCCCUAUCGGCAGGGAAGAAGAAAUGACGGUACCUGAAUAAGAAGCACCGGCUAAAUACGUGCCAGCAGCCGCGGUAAUACGUAUGGUGCAAGCGUUAUCCGGAUUUACUGGGUGUAAAGGGAGCGUAGACGGCAGAGCAAGUCUGAAGUGAAAGCCCGCGGCCCAACUGCGGGACUGCUUUGGAAACUGCCCGGCUAGAGUGCUGGAGAGGG
rnacentral:rRNA from 1 species